rnacentral:tRNA from 1 species
GCGCCUGUAGCUCAGGGGAUAGAGCGACGGAUUCCGGAUCCGUAGGUCGCAGGUUCGAUUCCUGUCAGGCGUGCCA